rnacentral:rRNA from 1 species
UUUAUGGAGAGUUUGAUCCUGGCUCAGGAUGAACGCUGGCGGCGUGCCUAAUACAUGCAAGUCGAGCGAACGGACGAGAAGCUUGCUUCUCUGAUGUUAGCGGCGGACGGGUGAGUAACACGUGGAUAACCUACCUAUAAGACUGGGAUAACUUCGGGAAACCGGAGCUAAUACCGGAUAAUAUUUUGAACCGCAUGGUUCAAAAGUGAAAGACGGUCUUGCUGUCACUUAUAGAUGGAUCCGCGCUGCAUUAGCUAGUUGGUAAGGUAACGGCUUACCAAGGCAACGAUGCAUAGCCGACCUGAGAGGGUGAUCGGCCACACUGGAACUGAGACACGGUCCAGACUCCUACGGGAGGCAGCAGUAGGGAAUCUUCCGCAAUGGGCGAAAGCCUGACGGAGCAACGCCGCGUGAGUGAUGAAGGUCUUCGGAUCGUAAAACUCUGUUAUUAGGGAAGAACAUAUGUGUAAGUAACUGUGCACAUCUUGACGGUACCUAAUCAGAAAGCCACGGCUAACUACGUGCCAGCAGCCGCGGUAAUACGUAGGUGGCAAGCGUUAUCCGGAAUUAUUGGGCGUAAAGCGCGCGUAGGCGGUUUUUUAAGUCUGAUGUGAAAGCCCACGGCUCAACCGUGGAGGGUCAUUGGAAACUGGAAAACUUGAGUGCAGAAGAGGAAAGUGGAAUUCCAUGUGUAGCGGUGAAAUGCGCAGAGAUAUGGAGGAACACCAGUGGCGAAGGCGACUUUCUGGUCUGUAACUGACGCUGAUGUGCGAAAGCGUGGGGAUCAAACAGGAUUAGAUACCCUGGUAGUCCACGCCGUAAACGAUGAGUGCUAAGUGUUAGGGGGUUUCCGCCCCUUAGUGCUGCAGCUAACGCAUUAAGCACUCCGCCUGGGGAGUACGACCGCAAGGUUGAAACUCAAAGGAAUUGACGGGGACCCGCACAAGCGGUGGAGCAUGUGGUUUAAUUCGAAGCAACGCGAAGAACCUUACCAAAUCUUGACAUCCUUUGACAACUCUAGAG